UGUAUAGAUGAGCAUGCAAGCUGCUAAAAGAGAUAGAGGUAAACAAAGAAUUAUGUAAUCCUAACAACCCUCCUGAUGGGGUGGCACAGAUACCACCCCACCAUAACCACUAAGUGUGGUUGGUGCAGGUGGAUGCUAAGCUAAAAUAUGGCGGACAGUUCUUUCUAACCGUCGCAUUGUCCCAUGGCUCCCACACCGAGCGCCAUGUUUCCAGUAGUGACCCCCAGCCCUCAGUGUUGUAACAGUCUGGACACGUCCCACAAAGCUAAGCUAAUGUGAUAAUAAGAUUGAAGACAUUAAAUAUGGUAAAAAAAUAUGGCUUAAGCCAAUGAGUAAAAACAUAUCAAAUUCAAUAUGAUUCUCAAAUAAGCCGAUCAAACAUGAUAAAAAUAUUACUAAUUUCAGGGGGAAAAGAAAUGGAAAAGUACAGUAGCACUUGUGGAGGAAAAAGAGGAAAACCUACCAGUACAGCAAAAUGUAAGGGUAACUCAGGGUAAAAUCUGCCCUUCAGCCCACAUUUGCUGCUCCAGAUGCAGUACCAUUGGUUAGAGUGGUAACAUAGUCACAUAGUGCAUUCACCCAAUCACUGCAUCUGGAAUGGUUAUACAAGCCUGCUCCAGCUUUCCCAGUCAGGUGUGAGGGGGGGAGCUGUAGACAGAGGUGCUAAUGGUUUGUGCUUCCAAACAACUAGUUCUAUCUUUGUUUGCUAUGCACUUUUAAGACUCACAAUAUAACAAUUAUUUGGAUCUGAACACCCAGUGAUCUUGGAGCCAUGACAAGCUGACAUGCACUGAACUGUAAAUGGAACUGUUAAUUGUCACAAGAUCAAACUUCUGCUAUGAGGACACCGGUGUCACAAGAUCAAAGGACUAGCUGUAAUACCAGAGCACGAGAGGGGAUCGUUUCUACGUCAGAGGCAGCAGCAGUCGCAGCAACGCCCCCGCAACACAUCUUACAUUCAGGGAGGACGACUCUGUGAAUGAAAAAAUAAUCUUCCAGAUAAAUAAAUUCUUGUGUUUGGAUUUGCACUGAAUAUGCUCAAAACUUCACAACUGCUGCUAUGUGAGUGAGGAAAACCUCUGCGCAAAAACAGAAAAGCAGAUGCUAUUUCUGUAAAUGUGUGUGUGUGAUGUUGUGUUUUACAUGUUCCUGGGACACUCAGACAGUCCUUUGUUCUUCCAUCCAUUGCUCGUGUCUAAUCAUCUUGAAGCCGUGUCUUCCUUCUCUCAAACAACAACAACAACAUGAGUAAAGCUGCCACCAGUCCAAUUAGAUGUGAGACUGUGACAGUGUUAAGAUCUGCUUCGCCUGACACUCACACCUUAUCAUGUCACUCACUAAUGAGAACUCUCCAGGGUGACUGCAUCCAUGAUGAUGAAGCAGUCACGUUUUUUUUCCUCUCUCUCUUUCUCUCCUCCUCUUCGUGCGCUUUCAUCUGCCUCUGAUCUCCGCGGCUCCGCUCUCAGGCCGGCUCGAUUCUCAAGAUUCUCCUCGCCUUCCUGGCCGUGGUCAACAGGAAAUGAGGAAAGGCUGAAUCACGCUGGGAAGGCUGUCUCUGUCAUCAAUAAAACCUUUGUGAUAAGGCUUAAUGUAUUUUCUAAGAAGUCCCUGCUGCUCCGUGUAAGAUGGAGAGCCGUGAGACGGGACUUCUCCUUAUCAGUUUGUUUUGUGCGUCUCGUCUUUUGAUGUAACUCUGGCCUGCGCACCGCUUCGGAAACCGAAUCUGAGAUUUAUCCUGAGUGUGGACAGUUUUUCUAAAAUUUUCUUCAGCCUCCACAUUUAUUACCGCUUCUGAUACUUCAGAUUUUGAUAUCGAAUUGACACCACGCAAAUCCAGGACCAGAAUUACCGAUAUUGAUAUUGAUACCAAUGCGAUACUUUUAAUAGUCUAGGUUUGAAAUAUCAUGAAACUUCAAAAGUUUUUCCUUUGAAUGAUUUUGUUAAAACCUAGGACAGAAUUUGAACAUAGUUUAUGCCUACAAAAUACUUUAAUAACAUGGUAAUCAGAAACAAUAGAAAAUCAGAACAAAUUCGCUUUUCCCCCCCUAAAUAAACCGAGGUGCUUUGUGAUCUUGAUGGGGCUGUGGAUCUCAUCCUGUUACGUCAACCUUAAUUUGGGACGGAAGCUCAGUCAGCUCCUUACCAGCAUGCCUCCUUCUUGUCCUGCAUGAAAACGUCAAACAGAAAAAGGGAAGGAAAAAGGGCCACAGCUUUGAGCAAUUGCAUGAGGUUUGCACGUGCGCGUUGAGCGGCGUUGACAAAAAGCGCGUGAGUCACAAAGUUAAUUAUAUAUAUAAAAGGCUCUUCUCUGUGUGCUGCUUUUCAUCCUGUUCCUGCGUUAAUACCCGCAGGCUUCUGUUUCCAUCUGUCUCCCCAUUACUUUGUUGCAUGCUUUCAUGCCCCGAGGAUUGUGUCUCUGUCCUGAUCGCUCUGUGCCUCCAGAACCUUUUUUUUUCUAUUUUAAUGUGCACCGACUUCUGAAUGAAGUAUAAGACGUGACGUAUCUCGACAUUGGAGCACGUCAACCGUGCCACAUAAGCAGGCCUGACACUUGAUUGUCUAUGGUACGGAUACGUGUAGACGCGGCAUGUCUUUGAAAGUUUAAUUUUUGUUUUCUGAAACGGCAACAGAGAUAAAAAAAAAAAUAAAAAUAGUAGACUGAAUGUAUUUCCUCUGUGGUCUUAAGAGAAUAACAGCGCCCCGCCUCUUUAAACACAAACACAAACAAAGAACACACAGUGUGACGUCGACAUUCAGCUCUGAGGCAGUCCAUCGCAGACGAGAGGGAAAAAAAUACAAGAAAAACGCCUCUGGAAUGAAAACAAAACAUUCAGAGCUCUGAUGAGUUGCUGAACUUGUCGUUGUUCCUGUUGCAUAAACCGAAACGCCUGCAGGCGGGUGCACCAUAAUGAUGUCAGCGGUGACUUUGCAUCAGGCGAACUGGGGCAGACAGUGAAGGCAGGGCCGCAUCGGCUGGUCUGCGUGUGUUCAUCGCACUCACUCCAAACCACCGAGACCCGAGACGCCCCGCCAUCGUGGGAACAGCUGGGAUCGGACGCGACGUUCCUUAAAGGCCGACGCCGCAGGGAUUCGUGGGAGGAUGAGAAGCAGUGGUGGCGAUGACUCCGACCUGAACCGAGCGUCUACGAGCAUCAACACACCAACAAGUGGCACUAAAUGCUCCUGCUUCAACCAACGGAGGCUAAACAUGUCGAUCAAAAACAUACAGGUGCUGGCCACACAAGACCACCACACUUCAAAACAUCUGAACUACCAGCAUCUCUCCCCAGAUGGGUCCCCAUAUCAUCUCUGCCAUGAUCAUCCACUGACACUACAGUCCCUGCUAUCAUCAUCAUCACCAUCGUUCUCGGCGAUCACACCCAGUGUAGCAGCCAGGUGGGCUGUGUGCGCACUCAGCGCAUCGCACUCCUGCCCGGCGGCUCCGCGCGACGCCAGCUGAGCCCUUGGCUUAGGGCUGCAGCCUGCUAGGAGGAAAGCAGAAGCCAGAGGAACGGAGGAGCAGAUUGGUCAAGAUUACUCACUGUUGUCUGACUUUGAGGCCGGCAUCUUUGUGCGGGAUGUUGGUGGAUAAACAGGAGCAGAGAGUGCUGGGCCCAGAUACCACGCACCGGGUCUGUUUCCUCCUUCCUUCCACGACCCAGACCAUCUGGGUGGGAGUGUUCGUCAAGAGAUAAAACAUGUCAAUAAAAAAAUAACUAAACAAAUGUCCAUAUUGAGAAUUGUAAAGCAAAUCUUUGGUUAUUUUUGGUUAUCAUCUUGUGUCUGCUGGCAUUUUAAAGCACUGAUCUCAUGUCCAAAGAUGCCUACCAGUUAUUAUGACAAUCUUGUAUGCCAGUCUUUUCCUGUUUUUCUUUCUCCACGAUAUAAAGCAAUGAAUUAAACUGCAGAAGAACAUCUUGA